CCUCCCUCACUGUUCCUCCCUCAAAUCGCCGACUCCUUCCUCACUCUCACCUCGUUGUCACCGACCCAGCUCACCACCGGUUUUCAAGACUCAACCAAGCGCCACCCCACGUGGGCAAUCCCUCUGAGGGCAUCGCGAUAGGAAGUGGAAGCUUGCGACCUCCGCACCGGUGGCACGUAAUUGGUGGGUGAGGGCUUCCGGCAGGAAAGGAAAGUGACAGUACGGGAUGAGUGUCCCGGGAUGAGCUCCGGGGAGGACCCUUCCAAACAUGACUGAUAAUGUGAUUUAUGUUAACUUCGGCUAUAUGACUGCAUGUUCUCCUAGGAGGUACCUCUAGGGUCAUGAUUAUGAACUAAAUGACUGGCUCAAAUGGUGGUUACUACAUGUGAGGGAGACACCUCUCAAGAAGUUAUGGAAGACAUGCAUGUUGAGUAGGCGAGGAGACGGGAUGGAACCAUGACACAUUGUCCAAGGAUUUCUAGGAGUUGGUGAGGACAUGGGUUUCUUGUUGUGCAGAUUUUGUCAUGAGGUUAUGUGUUUGUGGUUCUCUUUACUGUUGCUAGCACUUGUUAAUAACAGCUCUAUUGAGCUUUGAAUCUACACUUUUGCUUGGAAAUUGUGGUUGAAUGUGAUGCA